AGGACGAACGCUGGCGGCGUGCUUAACACAUGCAAGUCGAACGUGAUUUUUGUGGAAAUUCUUUCGGGAAUGGAAAUGAAAUGAAAGUGGCGAACGGGUGAGUAACACGUGAGCAACCUACCUUACACAGGGGGAUAGCCGUUGGAAACGACGAUUAAUACCGCAUGAGACCACAGAAUCGCAUGAUAUAGGGGUCAAAGAUUUAUCGGUGUAAGAAGGGCUCGCGUCUGAUUAGCUAGUUGGAAGGGUAAAGGCCUACCAAGGCGACGAUCAGUAGCCGGUCUGAGAGGAUGAACGGCCACAUUGGAACUGAGACACGGUCCAAACUCCUACGGGAGGCAGCAGUGGGGAAUAUUGCACAAUGGGGGGAACCCUGAUGCAGCGACGCCGCGUGAGCGAAGAAGGUUUUCGAAUCGUAAAGCUCUGUCCUAUGAGAAGAUAAUGACGGUAUCAUAGGAGGAAGCCCCGGCUAAAUACGUGCCAGCAGCCGCGGUAAUACGUAUGGGGCGAGCGUUGUCCG
rnacentral:rRNA from 1 species